rnacentral:rRNA from 1 species
GAUGAACGCUGGCGGCGUGCCUAAUACAUGCAAGUCGAGCGAACAGACGAGGAGCUUGCUCCUCUGACGUUAGCGGCGGACGGGUGAGUAACACGUGGAUAACCUACCUAUAAGACUGGGAUAACUUCGGGAAACCGGAGCUAAUACCGGAUAAUAUAUUGAACCGCAUGGUUCAAUAGUGAAAGACGGUUUUGCUGUCACUUAUAUAUGGAUCCGCGCCGCAUUAGCUAGUUGGUAAGGUAACGGCUUACCAAGGCAACGAUGCGUAGCCGACCUGAGAGGGUGAUCGGCCACACUGGAACUGAGACACGGUCCAGACUCCUACGGGAGGCAGCAGUAGGGAAUAUUCCGAAAUGGGCGCAAGACUGACGGAGCAACGCCGCGUGAGUGAUGAAGGUCUUCGGAUCGUAAAACUCUGUUAUUAGGGAAGAACAAAUGUGUAAGUAACUAUGCACGUCUUGACGGUACCUAAUCAGAAAGCCACGGCUAGCUACGUG